rnacentral:rRNA from 1 species
AUACGGAGGGUGCAAGCGUUAUCCGGAAUCAUUGGGUUUAAAGGGUCCGCAGGCGGAUUAAUAAGUCAGUGGUGAAAUCCUCUCGCUCAACGAGAGAACUGCCAUUGAAACUGUUAGUCUUGAAUUCGGUCGAAGUAGGCGGAAUGUGUCAUGUAGCGGUGAAAUGCAUAGAUAUGACACAGAACACCGAUAGCGAAGGCAGCUUACUAGACCUGGAUUGACGCUCAUGGACGAAAGCGGGGGGAGCGAACAGGAUUAGAAACCCGAGUAGUCC